GAUUUUUAUGUACUUUCAUCCUGUUUUUAUAUUAAUCCGUAUCAGGGCUUUUGAUGUCUGGUGCGGUAGUGUUUCAAGCAGUUUAUAUCGUGUAUUACCAAUAGGCCGAAUAAAAUGAAAACAAAAAAAAACUCGUCGAAGCUGGGUAAUCGAUUGCGGUGGUUGCAGAACUUACGGAACGGUAGUAUUGGAUUGAUCCAACUAUGGAUAGCUUUGCCUUUGUGUAUGGCUUAAAGGAGUUGGAAAUAGUUUGAGAACAGCAAAACUAUUGACUAAACAUCGGUACAUAAAAUGUUAUUAAAUUAUAUUGGAGGACCAGCUGAAAUUUUAAAUCAAAAGAAGCUAACAAAAGAGCAUAUUCUUCCAAGAAUUUAAAUAUAUAUAUGGCAAUCGUUCUUGGAAAAUAAGAAGAAGAAAAAUGCUA